UUCCGGGAAUAGGGAGAGGACAGACGUUUUGGAGGAGAAGGAGGAGAACUGAAGUCUUGCAUUUGGGAGCAAGUAUUAGGUGAGUAAAACUUAUGGAAUUUCUUUGUUCAAUGAUUACAGUUGUUCUUCUUUCCCACUUUCAUUGUUUCUGAUAAUUCUUUGAGUUGUUGUUUUGCCAUUGAGGAUUUCACAUUCUUUUGAUAGGAACUUGAAUUUUAGGGAUGCUUGGUUGUAUGGAAACUGGGAUUAGUCGGAUUCCUUUUUUUUAUUUUUUAGUUUGGGUCGAAUUUACUGUAAUUGGUCAAUUUAGCAUCCUUGUUUGUCUUUAAAAUCAUGAAUUGACUGUACAGAUGUGUUGGGCAUUUUGAGUAGUAUAAAAUCGACAUAUUAUUUGCGUAAUUUGAUUGAGAAUUGAGGAAGUUACGGUGGUGUGAAGUUAUUCUUGUUUGUUUCUCUUCUAUAUUAAUCCAGAUGGGUUCAAGGACUCAUUUGGUUCAUUGAACUCCUUGAUUAAGUAUGAAGCACACACAACAUUGUAGAAGGUUCCUUAACGAAUCAAUUAACGAUUCAAUAGGAUUAAGAAUCACCUCAAACGGAUAAGAACUGAAACUUGUAGAGAACUUUGAAAUAGGAAGGUUGCAUCAAAUUUUUGGUAUGAACAUCUGAAAGAAAUCUGAGUUAUUUUUAGAGUCAGUUGACAAUGCUUCUAUGGUACCCACAAAUGCUUAGCACUUUGUCUUCUUAAUAUCAUACAUUAGUUAUGUCUUGUACUUGAAAUAUGAAUUCUGAUACCUUGAGUUAUGCAAUACAUAUGUCAUUUCCCUGCAAUCGAUCAUGGUUAUAUUUUUCACUCUUGUGAAUAUUAUGUUUUAAAGAAAAUACGGAAUUAUUAAUCUACGUACAUUACUGUUCUUGAUUUGGUUUAUAUUUACUUGCGUAGACACCUGCAUAAUUAACUUUGUGUCAUCAAUAUGGUAAUGUAUCGUUGUGGUUACAAUUGAUGGAAGGUUAGAAGACCUUGAGUACCUUGUAGGAUGGGUGAGUUUGAUCCCACAGUGAGCAAGCAGGGAACAAGAAUAGUCCUUGGGAUGAAAAGCCUCAUAACAGUUAGUGCACUAGUCUGUCGUUGUCAAUUCAGUAUUAUGUUGUGCGGUCUGGUUCAACAUGGUGAGUCUGAUCCGUGUUAGAGCAGUGCCCUACUUGGUGAGUUUGAUCCAUGUGGGUUUUAUAGAUGAGCAUUGUGUAUUCUUAAAUCAAAUUGUGUACUGCUGCAAGGGUGGUACCUCAUCAUUGCUUUGUAGGAGACGUACUGGAUGUUAUAACUGUUGUCUCAUGAAUUUUUAUUUUAUUUUAUAGAGUUGUUUGUUAUCAAACCUGUGAAAUGUUCUUUUAUCCUUCUCUAAGUAUUUACAUUAAUGUGUAGAAUAGAGUGGUACAUCAUCUCUAUACAUUGAUUAGUAUGACUUACUGAGACUUACUGUGUGUUAUCAUUAGUAGUCUUAUGUAUUGUUAUUUUAAAAGUUGUUCAUCAUACACUCUCAUGAAAUAUUCUCCUGUUUUACGUAAUAUAUAAGUGUAUAAUAGUCUCUUGUGUAGUUUUGCUCAUACAAGCUUCAUAAGCUUACCGGGUUUUUCUUUUCUUUUGUGAACCCGGUACACCAUAUUAUGGUGUAG
rnacentral:lncRNA from 1 species